UUUAAACGCAGUCAUGAGUUUUUUUUCCAACUCUAAUUAUACGUAUUAUUUAAAAUUAUUUUAUGGUUAGUAUUUUUUAUUGUUAUUUUAUAAUAAAACAUAAAUAGUACUUUGUGUCUUAUUUAUGUGUUUUAAAUUUUUUUAAAUAAAACGAACAACAAAAAUUAGACAUGAAAACUCAUGUGUGCGCUUAAA
rfam:Oryza sativa Japonica Group DNA, chromosome 2, cultivar: Nipponbare, complete sequence.